rnacentral:rRNA from 1 species
GCGAACGCUGGCGGCAGGCCUCACACAUGCAAGUCGCACUAACCUUUCGGGGUUAGUGGCGGACGGGUGAGUAACACGUGGGAACGUGCCUUUAGGUUCGGAAUAACUCAGGGAAACUUGUGCUAAUACCGAAUGUGCCCUUCGGGGGAAAGAUUAAUCGCCUUUAGAGCGGCCCGCGUCUGAUUAGCUAGUUGGUUGAGGUAAUGGCUCACCAAGGCGACGAUCAGUAGCUGGUCUGAGAGGAUGAUCAGCCACAUUGGGACUGAGACACGGCCCAAACUCCUACGGGAGGCAGCAGUGGGGAAUCUUGCGCAAUGGGCGAAAGCCUGACGCAGCCAUGCCGCGUGAAUGAUGAAGGUCUUAGGAUUGUAAAAUUCUUUCACCGGGGACGAUAAUGACGGUACCCGGAGAAGAAGCCCCGGCUAACUUCGUG